rnacentral:rRNA from 1 species
CCCUUAGAUGUUCUGGGCCGCACGCGCGCUACACUGACAGGGCCAGCGAGUACAUCACCUUCACCGAGAGGUUUGGGUAAUCUUGUUAAACCCUGUCGUGCUGGGGAUAGAGCAUUGCAAUUAUUGCUCUUCAACGAGGAAUGCCUAGUAGGCACGAGUCAUCAGCUCGUGCCGAUUACGUCCCUGCCCUUUGUACACACCGCCCGUCGCUACUACCGAUUGAAUGGCUCAGUGAGGCCUUGGGAUUGGCUUAGGAGGGUUGGCAACGACCCCCCAGAGCCGAAAACUUGGUCAAACUCGGUCAUUUAGAGGAAGUAAAAGUCGUAACA